UUUGAUCAUGGCUCAGAGUGAACGCUGGCGUGUAGGCCUAACACAUGCAAGUCGAACGGCAGCACAGAGGAGCUUGCUCCUUGGGUGGCGAGUGGCGGACGGGUGAGGAAUACAUCGGAAUCUACUCUGUCGUGGGGGAUAACGUAGGGAAACUUACGCUAAUACCGCAUACGACCUACGGGUGAAAGCAGGGGAUCUUCGGACCUUGCGCGAUUGAAUGAGCCGAUGUCGGAUUAGCUAGUUGGCGGGGUAAAGGCCCACCAAGGCGACGAUCCGUAGCUGGUCUGAGAGGAUGAUCAGCCACACUGGAGCUGAGACACGGUCCAGACUCCUACGGGAGGCAGCAGUUGGGGAAUAUUGGACAAUGGGCGCAAAGCCUGAUCCAGCCAUACCGCGUGGGUGAAGAAGGCCUUCGGGUUGUAAAGCCCUUUGUUGGGGAANGAAAUCCAGCCGGCUAAUACCUGGUUUGGGAUAGACGGUACCCAAAGAAUAAUGGCACCGGCUAAACUUCGGUGCCAGCAGCCGCGGGUAAUACGAAAGGGUGCAAGCGGUAACUCGGAAUUACUGGGGCGUAAAAGCGUGCGUAG
rnacentral:rRNA from 1 species